rnacentral:rRNA from 1 species
AUACGGAAGGUCCGGGCGUUAUCCGGAUUUAUUGGGUUUAAAGGGAGCGCAGGCGGAGAUGCAAGCGUGACGUCAAAUUUCGGGGCUCAACCCCGUCUCGCGUCGCGAACUGCGUCCCUUGGUUGCGGGAAGGGGAGGCGGAACUCGUGGUGUAGCGGGGAAAUGCAUAGAUAUCACGAAGAACUCCGAUCGCGAAGGCAGCCUUCCGGCCCGUCAACGACGCUCAUGCUCGAAGGUGCGGGUAUCAAACAGGAUUAGAUACCCUGGUAGUCCGCACAGUAAACGAUGGACACCCGCGGUUUGGCCUGUAUGGCUGAGCCGCCAAGCGAAAGCGUUAAGUGUCCCACCUGGGGAGUACGCCGGCAACGGUGAAACUCAAAUGAAUUGACGGG